rnacentral:rRNA from 1 species
CUAAGAAUAUUCCGCAGUGGACGAAAGUCUGACGGAGCGACGCCGCGUGGAUGAAGAAGGCCGAAAGGUUGUAAAAUCCUUUUGUUGGGGAAGAAUAAGCGUGGGAGGGGAUGCCCGCGUGAUGACAUGAACCGACGGAUAAGUCCCGGCUAACUACGUGCCAGCAGCCGCGGUAACACGUAGGGGACAAGCGUUAUUCGGAAUUACUGGGCGUAAAGGGCAUGUAGGCGGCUUUGUAAGCCUGGCGUGAAAGUCACCGGCUCAACCGGUGGAUUGCGUCAGGAACUGCAGAGCUUGAGUCAUGGAGAGGGAGCUAGAAUUCCUGGUGUAGGGGUGAAAUCUGUAGAGAUCAGGAAGAAUACCAAUGGCGAAGGCAAGCCCCUGGCCGAUGACUGACGCUGAGGUGCGAAAGUGUGGGGAUCAAACA